UAAAGUGGAUUAGCGGCGGACGGGUGAGUAACACGUGAGUAACCUGCCUUAGACAUUGGGAUAGCCUCGGGAAACCGGGAUUAAUACCAAAUAAAAUCAUAAUGACACAUGUCAUAACGAUCAAAACUCCGGUGGUCUAAGAUGGACUCGCGUCCCAUUAGCUAGUUGGUAGAGUAAAAGCCUACCAAGGCGACGAUGGGUAGCCGGCCUGAGAGGGUGAACGGCCACAUUGGAACUGAGAAACGGUCCAA
rnacentral:rRNA from 1 species